rnacentral:rRNA from 1 species
AACGAACGCUGGCGGCAGGCUUAACACAUGCAAGUCGAGCGCCCCGCAAGGGGAGCGGCAGACGGGUGAGUAACGCGUGGGAACGUACCUUUUGGUUCGGAACAACUCCGGGAAACUGGAGCUAAUACCGGAUAAGCCCUAACGGGGAAAGAUUUAUCGCCGAAAGAUCGGCCCGCGUCUGAUUAGCUAGUUGGUGAGGUAACGGCUCACCAAGGCGACGAUCAGUAGCUGGUCUGAGAGGAUGAUCAGCCACACUGGGACUGAGGCACGGCCCAGACUCCUACGGGAGGCAGCAGUGGGGAAUAUUGGACAAUGGGCGCAAGCCUGAUCCAGCCAUGCCGCGUGAGUGAUGAAGGCCUUAGGGUUGUAAAGCUCUUUUGUCCGGGAAGAUAAUGACUGUACCGGAAGAAUAAGCCCCGGCUAACUUCGU